AAAACCCCUGGAAACAGGAUGGCUGGAAAGAUCCUCAGCAGAAAGCCCCUGCGUGGGAUGCUGACCAGGGUUUCAAGUCGAUUGGGGGGAAAAAAGACAUGGAAAACAGCCCGGGAUGGAUGAACAUUGUGCUGCCACCACCACCAGCUGCCCUAUGGAUGGGUGGCCCUGUUGCCACCUCCUCCUGUCACACCCUGCCCCUGGGACAGCAGCCAGCGACCGCUUCCAUGAGCACCGGAGACUUCCCAGCACCUUCAGCCACCUCUGCAGGACCGCGAGAUUCCAGGGAUUGGGAAAAGCUUUUAUUCCCUGGUUUGACCCGAUCAAGGCGAGCCUUUUUGUUCAGACAGCUUUUGAAAGGAGUUUGUGGGGAUUUUUUCCCAGCAAACCUGAGAAAUCCGUUAUCUCUGCAGCCCUAAUGGAUUCAGGGAGCUGCUCAGAUCUCUGAGAGCAGAAAACUGCAGUUUUCCAGCCUCGUUCCAGCUGCUCCAUCCAGCUUGGAGGGCAGGUGCUGGCAUCCCACUGCCUGA